GUGCAUGAUGGAUGUUACUCUUGUGCCCCGCUCCAUGGUGUAUCAAUGUAUCUAGGUCAUGCUAGAGAAAUCAUAUGAGGAGUAAUCAGGGCUGCCAGUUUUAAAGCACAGACUAAGUAGUAGUAUAUUACUCCUACACUA